UACGGAGGGUGCAAGCGUUAAUCGGAAUUACUGGGCGUAAAGCGCUCGUAGGCUGUUAUGUAAGUCAGAGGUGAAAUGCCAGGGCUCAACCGUGGAACUGCCUUUGAUACUGCGUAACUUGAGUCCGGGAGAGGAUGGCGGAAUUCCAGGUGUAGGAGUGAAAUCCGUAGAUAUCUGGAGGAACAUCAGUGGCGAAGGCGGCCAUCUGGACCGGAACUGACGCUGAGGAGCGAAAGCGUGGGGAGCAAACAGG
rnacentral:rRNA from 1 species